rnacentral:rRNA from 1 species
UUUCCCCCUUUUUUUAUAAAAACAUCGCCUCUUGCUAACAAAGGAAGUACUAGAGGUCCCGCCUGCCCUGUGACCACAAAGUUUAACGGCCGCGGUAUCCUGACCGUGCGAAGGUAGCGUAAUCAUUUGUCUUUUAAAUAGAGACCUGUAUGAAUGGCAUAACGAGGGUUUAACUGUCUCCCUCCCCUAGUCAAUGAAAUUGAUCUGCCCGUGCAGAAGCGGACAUAAACACAUAAGACGAGAAGACCCUAUGGAGCUUUAGACAAAAGAUCAAACAUGUAAAGAAACCUAGCUAACCAAAAGGAACACAAAGGCCACAAAACCAAACGUUAAAUAUGAUCCAAAUGUCUUCGGUUGGGGCGACCACGGGGGAAAGAAAAGCCCCCACGAGGAACUAGGGGCAAUCCAUUAAGUCAAGAGAUACACCUCUAAGCAACAGAAAAUCUGACCAAAAAUGACCCAGGACACUAAUCCUGAUCAACGAACCAAGUUACCCUAGGGAUAACAGCGCAAUCCUUUCCCAGAGUCCAUAUCGACGAAAGGGUUUACGACCUCGAUGUUGGAUCAGGACAUCCUAAUGGUGCAGCCGCUAUUAAGGGUUCGUUUGUUCAACGAUUAACAGUCCUACGUGAUCUAGUUCCAAAACCGGGA